GUGCCAGCCGCCGCGGUAAUACGUAGGAGGCGAGCGUUGUCCGGAUUUACUGGGCGUAAAGGGCGCGCAGGCGGCCUUGCAAGUAGCGUGUGAAAUCCACCUGCUCAACGGGUGGGGUGCAUGGUAGACUGCAGGGCUAGAGGACGGUAGAGGGGGGUGGAAUUGCUGGUGUAGCGGUGAAAUGCGUAGAGAUCAGCAGGAACACCCGUGGCGAAGGCGGCCCCCUGGGCCGUACCUGACGCUGAGGCGCGAAGGCUAGGGGAGCGAACGGGAUUAGAAACCCUCGUAGUCC
rnacentral:rRNA from 1 species